UGGGGUGUCGUCAAGCGGUAAGACACAGGUCUUUGGAACCUGGAUGCGGAGGUUCGAAU
rnacentral:tRNA from 1 species